AUUUUCCAAAAUAAAAGCAGAAACUAUGCAGUACAAUGAACACGGACAGGCAUUUCACAGGAGAGGAAUCGGACAUGGCCACUAAAAAUGUACCAGUACUGGACCUGGUGCACCAGUGUACAGAGAAGCCGCCGUGUGGGGCGACUCUCCAGAUAGCAGCCUGUCCCCCUGGUGCCCGGCACUGCCUCAGCAGGUGGCACCUGCUGGGGUUCUCACUCUGCAAGAUGCCUGGGGGACAUACUUCCCAACUUCUCUGUGGCAGUUUUCACUUAAAAGGAAACUUGAAUAUUUAAUCCGACCCUAAGUCAAAUCCUUCUGUGCUAGCAUGAGGGCAUGUGUGUGUGAGUGUGUCUAUAUGUGUGUGUCUAUGUGUGUCUGUGUCUGUGUGUGUGUGUCUGCAUGUCUAAUAUGUGUGUGUCUGUGUGUCUAUGUGGGUGUCUGUAUGUCUGUGUGUGUGUGUGUGUCUAUGUGUGUGUCUGUGUGUCUACAUGUGUGUCUGUGUCUGUGUGUGUGUGUCUGUGUGUAUGUCUGUGUCUGUGUGUAUGUCUGUAUGUCUGUGUGUGUGUCUGUGUGUCUACGUGUGUGUCUGUGUGUGUGUCUGUGUGUCUAUGUGUGUCUGUGUGUGUC
rnacentral:lncRNA from 1 species